UGCUCAUCUCUCCAGUAGUUUCUCUUAUCAGUAGUGAUAUCUGUGAAAGCCAUAGAUAUGCAAACUUCAGUAUGGGAGGAAUUUACAUCACCAGGUAAGAUAUGUUUAAAACGGAGAGUAAAAGUCUACAGUUAAAGAAGACAGGCAACGGAUUCCAGUUAACCCAUUCACAAAAGAGAAGGAAAAAGACAGGAUAGAGCAGGUAACUUUUGAAUGUUGUGAACACCAUCAUGAUGUGGAUAUUCCUUCUUCUAGCUUCUUCACACCUCCUGGUUGCACAAAGAACCUGUCUGCAUGGGGCCUGCUAUCCACCUGUGCAGGAUCUUCUUAUAGGAAGAAUCCAUUAUUUGAAGGCAUCCUCCACCUGUGGACUUACCCAACCUGAAACUUCCUGUACUCCAUAU